CCUACGGGAGGCAGCAGUGAGGAAUAUUGGUCAAUGGACGGAAGGCUGAACCAGCCAAGCCGCGUGAAGGACGACGGUGCCAAGCAUUGUAAACUUCUUUUGUCAGGGGACAAAAUCAUGCUCGAGAGCCUGACCGGGGGUACUUUAUGAAAAAGCAUCGGCUAACUCCGUGCCAGCAGCCGCGGUAAUACGGAGGAUCCGAGCGUUAUCCGGAUUUAUUGGGUUUAAAGGGUGCGUAGGCGGACUGUUAAGUCAGCGGUAAAAGCCCGGGGCUCAACCCCGGCGAGCCGUUGAAACUGGCUGUCUUGAGAUGUGGAGAGGUAUGCGGAAUGCGCAGUGUAGCGGUGAAAUGCUUAGAUAUUGCGAAGAACUCCGAUUGCGAAGGCAGCAUACUGGCGGCGCACUGACGCUGAGGCACGAAAGCGUGGGUAUCGAACAGGAUUAGAUACCCCAGUAGUC
rnacentral:rRNA from 1 species